rnacentral:rRNA from 1 species
AUGAACGCUAGCUACAGGCUUAACACAUGCAAGUCGAGGGGCAGCAUGGUCUUAGCUUGCUAAGGCCGAUGGCGACCGGCGCACGGGUGAGUAACACGUAUCCAACCUGCCGUCUACUCUUGGACAGCCUUCUGAAAGGAAGAUUAAUACAAGAUGGCAUCAUGAGUCCGCAUGUUCACAUGAUUAAAGGUAUUCCGGUAGACGAUGGGGAUGCGUUCCAUUAGAUAGUAGGCGGGGUAACGGCCCACCUAGUCUUCGAUGGAUAGGGGUUCUGAGAGGAAGGUCCCCCACAUUGGAACUGAGACACGGUCCAAACUCCUACGGGAGGCAGCAGUGAGGAAUAUUGGUCAAUGGGCGAGAGCCUGAACCAGCCAAGUAGCGUGAAGGAUGACUGCCCUAUGGGUUGUAAACUUCUUUUAUAAAGGAAUAAAGUCGGGUAUGGAUACCCGUUUGCAUGUACUUUAUGAAUAAGGAUCGGCUAACUCCGUGCCAGCAGCCGCGGUAAUACGGAGGAUCCGAGCGUUAUCCGGAUUUAUUGGGUUUAAAGGGAGCGUAGAUGGAUGUUUAAGUCAGUUGUGAAAGUUUGCGGCUCAACCGUAAAAUUGCAGUUGAUACUGGAUAUCUUGAGUGCAGUUGAGGCAGGCGGAAUUCGUGGUGUAGCGGUGAAAUGCUUAGAUAUCACGAAGAACUCCGAUUGCGAAGGCAGCCUGCUAAGCUGCAACUGACAUUGAGGCUCGAAAGUGUGGGUAUCAAACAGGAUUAUAUACCCUGGUAGUCCACACGGUAAACGAUGAAUACUCGCUGUUUGCGAUAUACUGCAAGCGGCCAAGCGAAAGCGUUAAGUAUUCCACCUGGGGAGUACGCCGGCAAUGGUGAAACUCAAAGGAAUUGACGGGGGCCCGCACAAGCGGAGGAACAUGUGGUUUAAUUCGAUGAUACGCGAGGAACCUUACCCGGGCUUAAAUUGCAGAUGAAUUACGGUGAAAGCCGUAAGCCGCAAGGCAUCUGUGAAGGUGCUGCAUGGUUGUCGUCAGCUCGUGCCGUGAGGUGUCGGCUUAAGUGCCAUAACGAGCGCAACCCUUGUUGUCAGUUACUAACAGGUUCCGCUGAGGACUCUGACAAGACUGCCAUCGUAAGAUGUGAGGAAGGUGGGGAUGACGUCAAAUCAGCACGGCCCUUACGUCCGGGGCUACACACGUGUUACAAUGGGGGGUACAGAGGGCCGCUACCACGCGAGUGGAUGCCAAUCCCCAAAACCUCUCUCAGUUCGGACUGGAGUCUGCAACCCGACUCCACGAAGCUGGAUUCGCUAGUAAUCGCGCAUCAGCCACGGCGCGGUGAAUACGUUCCCGGGCCUUGUACACACCGCCCGUCAAGCCAUGGGAGCCGGGGGUACCUGAAGUGCGUAACCGCGAGGAGCGCCCUAGGGUAAAACUGGUGACUGGGGCU